GACGAACGCUGGCGGCGUGCCUAAUACAUGCAAGUAGAACGCUGAAGAGAGGAGCUUGCUCUUCUUGGAUGAGUUGCGAACGGGUGAGUAACGCGUAGGUAACCUGCCUGGUAGCGGGGGAUAACUAUUGGAAACGAUAGCUAAUACCGCAUAAAAUGGAUUAUCGCAUGAUAAUGCAUUGAAAGGUGCAAAUGCAUCACUACCAGAUGGACCUGCGUUGUAUUAGCUAGUUGGUGGGGUAACGGCUCACCAAGGCGACGAUACAUAGCCGACCUGAGAGGGUGAUCGGCCACACUGGGACUGAGACACGGCCCAGACUCCUACGGGAGGCAGCAGUAGGGAACUUCGGCAAGUGGACGGAAGUCUGACCGAGCAACGCCGCGUGAGUGAAGAAGGUUUUCGGACGUAAAGACUCUGUUGUAAGAGAAGAACGAGUGUGAGAGUGGAAAGUUCACACUGUGACGGU
rnacentral:rRNA from 1 species